rnacentral:lncRNA from 1 species
GGUUAGCUCUUAUCGGGCGGUUACUGGGCGGUUUAUCGGUUUAAUACCUAAGGGCUCAAAUACAUAUCCGCACACUAGGACAUAACUAAAAUUUCCUGUGCAUGACGUUCAAAGGCAUCUGACCUUGCCAUGGAUUUUACAAUUGACAAUGAAACAAAGAAAAAGAAAAGAUAAAUACAUUGACAGGUUUACAACAAUUGGUCAUAAAUUUUUCAAGAUACAGUGCGCCCAUAGCAUAGGCAAGAA